UCUCGCUUAUAACGUCUCAUCGAUUCCUUGGUGCCUAUAUCUCCAUCUAAUAUGUCAAGCAUCUUCGUAAUCUCUACUUCUCCGAUUAAUCCUGACUGUCCAAUCAGAUAAAUCAUCGUUAAAACUCCAUGACAUUUGCCGGAGAGAAUCUCCCUCCAGAUGACGCCUGAAGAUAUUCUCCAUCUACAGUCGUGUUCAUCGUUCAAGAGCAAUCUUUUCUCCACGGAUACAACAAACUCUGUUUAAGAAAGGUGAAUUCCAUUUCAAUGCUUGAUUUCCACCACUUACUGCUCCAAAGAGUACCUCAAAACUGACAACUAUUUCUCUAACUUAUCGGGGUAUAUGACUCCUGAAAAUCUCCCUCAAUGUGAAAAUAGGUGUAUCCAUUCAAAUAUAUUGAUUGCUUCUUCGCAUUAUAAGCAACAACUUAUUAUUGAAAAUAACGUUCUUUGCCAUAUUCAAAUAUCUGGUGUCCUAGAUUACCAUAGAUAUUUUCUAUUUGAUGUAAUUUUAUGAGGAUUUGACACAUUGGUUGCCGUCGAUUUACAGAAAAAUUGCUCUGGCGGUUGUCGUACUUAUCAUUUAUCUCUUUGUAUCAUCUUUGUUUUGUUUCUCAUCCGCUUAUUUUGUUAUGAUAUGAUGUUUAUCACUCAUUCUUCUUCUGCAAGUGUGCAUAAAUUUUUUUUUUUUUAUCAGUUUGUAAAAGUGUAUAUGAAGUUCAGUUGUUUGCCGUCAUUCAUGCUUUCCUUUUGUUUUUCUACAUUGCUCUCUUCAGUAUGUUAUACAUUUUUUUCUUUAUUAACAAUUUUAUAAAAUAUUUUCUUAAUUGAAAGCGGAAUUCUUGACUUAUAUAUAUUUUGGCAGUUUAAGAAAGUUGAAUUCCAUUUCAAUGCUUGAUUUCCACCACUUACUGCUCCAAAGAGUACCUCAAAACUGACCACUAUUUCUCUAACUUAUCGGGGUAUAUGACUCCUGAAAAUCUCCCUCAAUGUGAAAAUAGGUGUAUCCAUUCAAAUAUAUGGAUUGCUUCUUCGCAUUAUAAGCAACAACUUAUUAUGAUAAUAACGUUCUUUGCCAUAUUCAAAUAUCUGGUUUCUUAGAUACUGAAGUGGACGAAUUUUUAGUAAUUGUUCUCAUAUUUUGAGAAGACGUGAAAUUUGAAUAAUGGAGUUCUUAUAUAUUUUGAAGUUGUUCUUAGUUUUCUUUGUUCCGUUUUCUUUGCUAUUUGGAGGGAUGGUUUAAAAACUCAUAUGAGGUAUAAACAAGAAUGAGGACUUAGGCCAAGAUGUUGUUGAAAAUUUUGAUAUUGUUUCUUAGUUUUAAUGUUGAUAUAUGCAGAGAGUCAUUUGGUGUGUAUUUUGUGUUCAAGUCAUUUUUGAUUUGGUAAAACAUGUGUGAUUUUAAUCAAUGUCAUCCUCUUGAGUAAUGUAUGUGUUAACCAAUUUGAUGGUGCUUCAUGAAUACUGUAAUGUACUUUCUCCUUUUAUGUUUCCAUGGUUUUGGCAAAUAUGUGUGGUUUUAAUCAAUGUCUACCUUGAGUAAUGGAUGUGUUAACCAUUUCCAUUGUGCUUCAUGUGUACUGACGUACUUUUCCUUGUACGUUUCUUAUGUGUUAGUAUUUUUAACACUUUUAUUAAAAAAACAUAAUUUCAUAAAUUUAUGAGUUUUUUUGUCACAAUUGUGCUUGAAGAGGGAACUAACGUAAAGACUCUACUUGAUUUGGAAAAAUCUGAUUUUACAUUGAUUUCAUUUCACAACACUCAGAGGAGUGCAUAAGACAUGGCUCUUCUAUUUUUAUUUAUUUUUGUAUGCAUUGGGUUAUGUAUUUUUUCAUUACUCCAUGGCCUUUUGUAUUUAUCUUUUCUUCCCAGAAUUUUGCCUUUUCUCCUUAAAAUGAUGAAAAAAGGUACGUAAUUCAUUUAUGAGUAUUCAGUAGUCACUUUUUAAAAAGGUGUUUCACUUAUGAACAUCCAAUAGCCACCUUUUAAUAUCAUCUUUAAUAUGCAGCGCCUCCUUAAGUCCCUUCGGGGACAUCGAUCCGAUAUUACCCCCAAAAAAGUGUUUGUGCCUUCCUCGAUGACUAAUUUAUGUUUGAAACCGCUCUUUGCCUUUCUCGGCGAGUAAUUACUGUUUUGAGUCUUGAAUGUGCAGUUAAAUAUAAUCAUGCACUACAGAUGUUGAAUUGGGCUAAAUAUUAUCACAUAGUGGUUACGCCUCUGGAAAUUUAACUGCAAAACACAUUUUUUUUCAAAACGUCAAAGAUGCAUAAAAAAAGAGAGAAGAAAAAGGUAGAACCUACAAUGUCCAUAUACCAAUAUGGAUCGAUCCAUUCAAUAUCAUUCAGACAAGAACAAAACCAAGUGAAGCGACUAUUUCUUGGCAUGACAAAGCCUCCAACAAUUGACACGGAGUGGUGUGGAGCUGGAACUGAAGGUCCUGCGUAUGGAUAGAGCUAACAAAUUUUGUUCCAUAGGAGUGGUAUAUAGUUGUUCUACUUUACUACAUACAUUAAUUAAUUGUUGUAAUUUAAGAAUC